rnacentral:lncRNA from 1 species
UCGUUAAUAGAUUCUUCGAGAUUUUCUUCAACAACGACUUUGGACUUUUUAACAGCAAUAAUUCUUCCAUCUGUUAACAUUCCCUUGUAAACAGUGCCUUGACCACCUUCUCCAAGUAUUCUGUUCACAUUAAAGCCAUCGGUGGCUACUUCCAUCUCCUUGGAACUGUAUACUUUUGUUUCCUGAACGCCACCAUCACUAGUGGAUAAUUGUUUCUGUAACAAUAGCCCACCGUUUCUGUAACAAUAAUUCUUUAUAAGUUUAUAUAGCCUCCAAAGGCCAAACAGCAGUACCAAUAUUUUAGUUAUUUUAAUCAUUUUAUUAUUUUCUUCCUUUUUAUUUAAUUUUGUGUCAAAACAUCUUAAAAAUCAUAAAAAAUACAAAAUGCAAAAAUACAGAAUUUUUUUUUUAAAUAGCUAGGAUUUGAAUUUGGACCAAUAAUCAAGUAUCAUAGGCAAAAACAAGGUUUGAAUUAAAGAAGAAAAUGGCUUAAUUUGAUUUCAUUUGGCUAAAAGUUGAAGAAAUUAUAUGUUCAAGGAUGAUUUUGAAACAAAUAGUCAAAUUAUAAAUCGAUGAAGGGAUUAAUUGAAGAAGAAGAAUAUCAAAAUUGAGAGUUAAAUUGAUUAAAAUUGCUUAAUUUUAGGAGCCAAUGAUGGAUUUGCAGGUCUAAAUUAAUUUAAUUGGGGAUACAAUUAGAAAGAAAAAGGUGAUUUAAAGCAAAUUGAAACGAUUCAAAAUCCAAGGACUCUAAUGAGAAUAAAUAAUGUUUGUCUGGAUUUUUAUUUCAAUUCAUUUCAAUCGUACCAGUCUAAUUGAAUUAGUUUGAUUCAAUUUAGUCCAAGUUAACUUAAUUUGAAUCCAAUUAUUUUUAAUUGAUUUAUUUUUAGUCCAAUUAAACCCCAAAAUCCAAUUAUGUUCUUGCCUUGUCUAUGUUGAUUUUGCUGCUCCAUGUUGUACUUUGCUCUGCACCCUCCUCUGUCUUUGCUCUCCCUUUAUUCUUUACUACUAUAUGUUCGUAGUUGCUGUCCUGGUUGAUCAUGAUCGGUGUUGUUAAGCUUUGUGGCUGUGUUUCCACAAAAGCUCAACAAUGGAAGUAGAGAAUGAGAGAGAGAGCGGUAUGAUCUUUAUUUGAUUCAACUAGCUAGGAUUAACUAUAUUUCAAGAAAAAAUCACUGAUUGUGACAGAGAAGAGUGCCAGUAAACUGUGUCCAAAUCAUUUUCCACAAAAUAUUCAACAAGAAAUUCUAUUUACCGGUGGCCUUUGGAGCCACGCACUCAUAUUUUUGUAUCUCAAUUAUAUAUUAUUUGUAAAAUUGAGUUAGGAUGUUUCCUUCCACCCUCCAAGCUUGACCAGCUAUAAUAAAUCCCACAGGACUACCAAAAUGUUUCUCAAUUGAGUGAUGAUGACUUUUGUCUUGCCAUUACGAAGAUGAUUGGAAACUGUUCUCUUUGAACCACUUGAAUUUCCUUGCACUAUUAUAAGAAAAAAAAAAAAAUAGAAGGACAACGUUCAGAAGACGAUUCUAUGAAUAAAACAGGAGAAGAAAAGUCGCCAAUUUCCUGAGGGCCAUAACUUUUUUUAUGAUGUGGAAUAUCUAGUAGAAAAGUACUUGGAAUGAACUUUCUAUCAGAAACUAAUCAAUAAUCCAACUGGUCAGGUCUAUGAUACAGUUUUAAAUUAUGAACCAAUUGCUUUCACUUUUAUUUAGGUAUUGUACCCAGAAAGUUCCUUGCAAUUUAUUGAUUUGGAAGAGUUUUUUUUUUUUUUCGCUCUUAAUUAACACAGCCCACCAAUCCCCCUGUAGUCCUCGAUGUUGAAUGUUCACUUUCACAAAUUUCACAAAUGACACGGCAAGAACAUUACGUCAUCAUGCUAUAUCCUUCUAAUUUAUGUAGUGUUAUUAAAUAAUAUUAAAUACUAGUUUUUCAACUAAAACUCAAUUUUUUUAUAAAAAAAUUACAAUUUCAUUACGUAUAAAAUUUAUUCGACAAAAACUACAGUUUUCAUGAUUUUUUGAGCAUGCAAUAAAAUUAGGUAAAAUAUUAUCAGGAAUAAAAUUGAGAUUACAAUAUAAGUAAAUUUAAUUCACCUUAAACUAAUUUUAUUUUUUUUGAAAAAAUAGUGUUCACGUUUACAUGAAUAGUGCGAGUGAAAUCACUGGGUUUUUUUUAAUUGCACUGAUUUUUCAGGAAAAAAAAAACUUUUCUUGGUUUUUCGAAAUUAAAAAAAAAAAAACUAAAACUCUGAUUUAAGUUUAGGGAACAGUGCGAGUGAAUUAAAAUUCACUCGCACUGUACAGUGUAAACUUUUCUUGGUUUUUUGAAAAAAAAAAAAAAAACUCUGAUGUAAGUUUAGGGAAUAGUGGAGCUAUGCUCCACUGUUCCAGCAUUUUUCCUUCAGGAGAAGUUGCAUUUUACUGCUUCUCCAAAACCUCCGUUUCAAUUUAAAAUUGAGUGGACCCUACCAGUAAAAAGCAGGUUUUGUUUUUUGUUACCAAAUGAAAAUUUGCGUGGCUGCGGGUGAACCUCACCCGCAGCCACGUUACCAAACGGCACCUUAAUAUAUAAGCUAGAAAAUAAGAAGAUUUGAGACAUUUUAUUUUCCUGUUAACAAUAGUUGAAAAUAGUUGGACAUAAAAUGCAGGGUCUAAGGUUACUUGAUGAAAAUGCAUUCGAUUCGGUCAUGUAUGUUUUUGCGUUUUAAAAGUAUUUUUAAAAAAAAUUAAUUUUUUUUUUCAAAUUAAUUUUUUUUUGGUAGUUUUAGAUCAAUUUAAUUUACUGAUAUCAAAAUAUUAUUUUAAUAUAUUUUUAAAUGAAAAACACUUUAAAAAACAAUCACAAACAUACUCUCAAACACAUGAGAACUCUGGUUGUUACAGUUCAGAACAGGGAUUUGUCUUCUUGAUUUAGCAAAAUCCUCAUUUGCUGCAGAAAAUAGCUUUUUUGUUUUUUUUUUUAGUGACUCAAUUUAUUUCCCGACUUGGAACGAUCAAUGCAUGUAAUUUCCCUUGUUUAUUUAGUUUUUAUGUUUUAAUAUUUAGGAUAUCUUGGGAGUUAAUCUUUCCCUGACCGGAUAUCAGAUAUCAUAGUUAAGGACUCUUAAUUCCACUAUAUAUAAUUAAACAUGAUCCAGUUUAGAAUCCGGCCAACCUAUCACUAUUCCAGGCUAGAUGUAAAAAAAGUCAAUUUAGAGCUGACCUGUUAAAAAUUAAAAUUUGAUUGAUUUUUUUUUUAUAAAUGAUAUUGCUUUGAUUUUUUUAUAUAUAUUUUUUAUUGAUUUAUAUCAACUAGAGUUUACGCAUCUGACCUAGUGACCUAUGAUUUAAUAAUUAUGCUUAAUUCUAUAAGAGAUCCUACUAAUUGUAAACAGACUUAAUUUAAGUAAAAAAGAACUCGUAUUAAAUUAAGACACAAUCUUUCUCACAUCAGGAAAUCCGAGAAGUCUUCCAAUUUUGAGACGGAAACCAGAAGAAGCUAGAAACUAGGUUUCAAUAGAUACCUUAUAAACUUCGGACUUUCUCUUGUGAUGUUGGCUUUAAAUUGACAGCCUAAGCCAUUGAAACAGCAUAACUUAAUUUGAUUUUUCAAUCUCAAAAACAACAAUGGCGUUAAAGAUGAAGAGCAGCACACCGAUACAGGUGCGCGAAGUCUGGGCAGAGAACCUCGUAGCUGAGUUUUCUCUAAUCAAGGAAGCAAUCUCUCGCUUCUCCUUCGUUUCACUGGACACUGAAUUCCCUGGUACUCUCUUUCUGUCAAAUCUUGACAACAGUUUGCUGUCUCAAGCCCCUCCUUCUCACAAUUACCGUCUCAUGAAGUACAAUGUUGAUCUCUUGAAAAUAAUUCAACUUGGGAUGACUCUGUCUGAUUCACAAGGAAAUCUUCCAAGUUUCGGAACAGAAUUCCACUACGUUUGGCAGUUUAAUUUCCGGGAUUUCAACAUCGAGCAUGAUCCUUACAACGACGAAUCUAUUGGGUUACUUGAACGCCAAGGUAUUGAUCUCAAGAAGAACAGAGAAAAGGGUAUCGAUUCCUCAGAUUUUGCAUGGAUGAUUUUGACUUCUGGACUUGUUUCAAUAACUGUUCAAUAACUUGGAUUACUUUUCAUGGUGCUUAUGAUUUUGGGUUCUUGAUCAAGAUCUUAACUCGACGAGAGUUGCCAUGUGAUAUGGCGUCUUUUCUGGGGAUGGUUAGUUUCUUCUUUGGCGUUCGAGUUUAUGAUACAAAAUUCAUGAUGGGAUCUAUCGGUGGUUUGCGCGGUGGAUUGGAGAGGGUGGCUAAGUUUGACGCGAUAGAAAACAGUAAAGGAAUACGACCAAUGUCAAUAUUCCAUAAAAUUGUCUACAACGAGAGAAACUCUCAGAAAACUCAAAGGUUUUUAUUCAAUAAUCAUUAGCUGCCGCCGGCCAGAGGCUUUACAAUGAUAUUUAAAGCAAAACUCUACCCUAACCCAUGACGGAUAAGGAAACGACACAAAACAUUAAAUUUACCAAAAAUGGAAAAUUUGAGAUAAAUGCAGAAUAUGAAAAGGUCUGUAAAUCCUGAGCAAACAGGAAUUGACGGAAGUCAAUUCGGACUCGGAAAUCAAAAGUUAUGGCUAAAACGAAACUUUCCAAAAAUGAUGAUUUCGGGACCAAAACAAUGGAAUUUGGCCAAAACCCGGUGGACAUCAGGGGCAUAGCCGCUGACUUCUUCCGCAAACAGCGAAAUGCAUUGACUCGGUGAGUUUCGCGGCAUUCCGACUUCUUCAGCUUGUUGUAAGUGCCUACAUGAAACCUUUCUUUGCGCAAGAAAACCAUCACGGAAUCUCCCUCUUCAAACACCUGGCGAUGUCGAUGCUUAUCCGCCGCAGCCUUGUACUUUGCAUUUGUUGCUUCCAACCUCUGCCUCACUUCCUCCUGCACGGUCUGGCCUUGUGUCACCAUGUUCUUAGUGGCCAUACUAAAUCCUGGGCCUCCCUUGGGUAGACGAACUAAGUGCACUGUAUGUCUCGGUGGUGUCACAUAUAUCAUAGCAAAAGGAGUCUUCCCCGUUGCGCUAUGAACAACACUAUUGUAAGCAAACUCAGCCUGUGGCAAUGCAUGAUCCCACUGUUUUGGUUUAUCCCCACAAAUGCUACGAACCAGAUUUCCCAAAGUUCUGUUUGUCACCUCUGUCUGCCCAUCAGUUUGCGGGUGCGUGGUUGUGCUUCGGUUCAGCGAAGUCUGAAACAUCUUCCAUAAAGUCACCCCAAAGUGGCUAAGGAAUUUCGUGUCGCGAUCAGAAGUAAUUGACUGCGGCACUCCAUGAAGUCAGACCACUUCCCUGAAAAAUAAUCGGGCUAUAUGCGAAGCAUCUGAGGUCUUUCGGCAAGGGAUGAAGUGAGCCAUCUUUGAAAACCUGUCAACAACCACAAAAAUAGAAUCCACCCCUCGUUGGGUGCGAGGCAACCCCAGCACAAAAUCCAUAGACAAAUCCUCCCAAAUAUUGUUAGGAAUAGGUAAAGGUGUAUAGAGACCAGUAUUUUGCGACUGACCUUUAGAUACCUGACAUAUAUAGCACCUCCGUACAAAAUUGUCGACGUCUCUCUUCAGUUGCGGCCAGAAAUAUCGUUCCUCUAAGCUAGCCACUGUUUUGUCCCCGCCCAAGUGACCACUCAAUCCACCCCCAUGAAGGUCACGGAUCAAUUUCUCUCGCAGCGACAUCCGGGGUAUACACAAACGAUUUCCGCGAAACAGAAAACCUUCGCUCUCAUGAAAAUCGCUGACGGGGUGUUUCUCAAUGCACUUCGCCCAGAUUUCUUUGAAAUCCGCAUCCUCCUGAUACAACUCCUUUAGGCACUCAAACCCCACUAUCUCAUGAGCCAAUGUCACCAGCAGAUUGGCACGACGGCUCAACGCAUCGGCAACCCGAUUCAAAGCACCAGACUUGUGUCGAAUAGCAAAAGGGAACUUUUGAAGGAAAGUUGCCCAUCUGACAUGCAUGUUAUCCAAGUGCUUCUGACUAUUAAUAAAUUUCAGAGCUUGGUGAUCAGUGUACAAAACAAACUCCCGCUGCACUAGAUAGUGCUCCCAAUGCUUCAAAGCUCGGACCACCACGUAAAACUCUUGGUUAUACGUACUCCACUUCUGACGAGCCUCACUCAACUUCUCAUUGAAGAAGGCUACUGGUCGUUUCUCCUGGGAUAACACAGCCCCAAUUCCUACGCCACUCGCAUCACAUUCAACUUUGAAAAUCUUCUCAAAACUGGGUAGGGCCAAUACUGGCGCGGUGCACCCAACAACACAUGACUAGCAUCCAUAUCAAUCACAUCGCAAACUACUUCAUCUUUAUAUAUUUUUCCAAUGGAAAUAGGAAUGCGACAGAUUUCAGUUACCUUCAUCGUGGGUCCUUUCUUGAUCCAGCCGAUAGUGUAUGGAGUCGGGUGCUUCUCGGUUGGUAGCUUUAGGUGUUCAACUAGGCCCCUUGCAACGAAGUUCUCGCAACUCCCGCUAUCCACAAUUAAGUCGCACACCUUCUGGCUCACGAUGCAGUAUGAGCGGAAGAUAUUAUUUCACUGUCCUGCACCUCAUGCCUUGGAGUGUAUAAUAUUCGCUGCACUACACAGUUGAUUCGUUCUCCAUCCUCCUCAGCGAAUUCUGCCCCCUCAUAGCAGUUAUCCUCCCCUGCAUCAUCUCCAGUAGCCUCUGGAUCCCCUUCUUCUCCUUCGAUCCAGUUGACAGGUCUGCGACGAUCUGGGCAAGUGUUAGAGAGAUGCUCAGGUUUCCGAUAGCGAUAACAGACUCCAAGUGCAGGUCUGGCAUAAGGGUUGGGAUUCAAGUUCAUGUUCGUGUUCUGAUUUGGAUUUCUGGGUAUAUUCAUGUUGCCUUGGGCUACUUGGCUGUUGUUGUUGCCUCCUUCUUUGUUCUGAUUCAACACGUCUGCUUGGCUAUUGUUGCCACCCUUGUCUCUGGUAUUAAACGAAGACUCUGGAUUGUUUCGGCGAAAUCCUGAGACUCCUCCUCUUCGCUCCAUCAAUUCAGCCUUCAAUGCCAGAUUAUGAGCUUCCUCCACAGUCCAAACCACCUGUAACCCAAUCUUAUCUUGUAAUGACGAUUUCAAUCCAUUUAUAUACCUGGCUACGCGCUGCCCCUCUAUCUCGUUAAGAUUGUUUCGCUCCAAGAAUCUAGAGAACUUUGCAGUAUAAAUCAAACACAGAUCUGGAUCCUUGUGAGCAGUCUUGAAGUAAUUGAAACAGAUAUUGUUCAUAAUCUGGUGGCAGAAACCUCCCUAUCAUCAGUUGCUUCAUCCUAUGCCAAGUCCUUAUAAGCGCCUUUCCUUGUCGCUGCCGAUUCUUCUGUAAUUGAUCCCACCAUACUGCAGCCCCUCCCUUCAAUCGGAAGGCUACAAACCUCACCAUCUUUUCUUCUCGUAUCUCCAUCAUCUCAAAGAAUCGCUCCACUUCGGUAACCCAAUCAAGAAAAUCUUCAAUUCACAGAUUCCCAUUGAAACUAGGCAGAUCUGCUUUCAGGUGAUAAUCGUCUUGCUCCCUCGGACAUCUCGCAGGUGGAGGUAAACUAUAUCCUAUGUCAUCUUCUUCGUCUGAAUCAUCCUCGCUGUCAGGUUGGAUGCGAGGUGCUGGAUUACGUCUUCUAUCAACAGUGGUGGCCUGUUAUUGGCGUUGAGGUUAAUCCCGGCAGCAAGCAUCUCGCGAAUCUGCGCUACUUGUUGCCGCGUCUCCUCCACUGCUGCCCACAAGGCCUCUACUCCAUGGUCUUCGCCAAUAGAGUUUUUGUCUCCUGCUUCGUUAUUCUCCAUCGAGUUCAGCAAAUCUGUGCUCUGAUACCAAUUGACGUGGCAGAAAACAGUAAAGGAAUACGACCAACGUCAAUAUUCCGUAAAAUUGUCUACAACGAGAGAAACUCUCAGAAAACUCAAAGGUUUUUAUUCAAUAAUCAUUAGCUGCCGCCGGCCAGAGGCUUUACAAUGAUAUUUAAAGCAAAACUCUACCCUAACCCAUUACGGAUAAGGAAACCACACAAAACAUUAAAUUUACCAAAAAUGGAAAAUUUGAGAUAAAUGCAGAAUAUGAAAGGUCUGUAAAUCCUGAGCAAACAAGAAUUGACGGAAGUCAAUUCGGACUCGGAAAUCAAAAGUUAUGGCUAAAACAAAACUUUCCAAAAAUGGCAAAAAUGACGAUUUCGGGACCGAAACGAUGGAAUUUGGCCAAAAACCGAUGGACAUCAGGGGAAUAGCCACUGAAUUUUUCCGCAAACGGCGAAACGCAUUGACUCGGUGAGUUUCGCGGCAUUCUGACUUUGAUGCCCCGGCUGCUGAAAUUCAGUUGCCUUUAAAUUUCGGGUGAUCCCUUUUGAGCAUGUAUGCUUCCGCUAUUUGUUCUACAUUAAAGUUAAUGGGUGCAGAAUGGACAACCGGAAGUAGGCACUAGGCAGGAUCUGAUAGCCUGUUAACCCAGCAAACAUUCGUGAGAUUUAAGGAUUCUUACGCUAAUCUUGAUCUUGAAAACUUGAAUGGCUGUGAGGGAAUGAUUUUUGGACCAUGUGAAGGCUGGCUGGGAUUCGAUCGUACACCUGAAGCAUACAAUAUUGAAACUUCUACUCAGUUGAAACCUCAGUUUAAGGAAGUGUUUUCAGUGUAAUAUUUUUCCCCUCAAAUUUGGUUGUAAAACCUUUUAAUCCAAGUUUCUCGUUGUAAAACCUUUUAAUCCAAGUUUCUCGAUUAUUUGUUUUAAUUUUUUCCAUUAGCCUUUUAAUCCAAGUUUCUCGAUUAUUUGUUUUAAUUUUCUCCAUUAGCUAUAUUUUGAUUUGUUUCGCAUCAAGCAAAGUUUGUGUUGAGGUCAGAUCUAUUAUCGCUGGUGUUGGAUUUGGUCCAAAUGGACCGCUCCGAGGGGCUAAGAACCCAUGCCCAAAUCAAAAUAUAAAAUAGAGGGAGAAACCUGAUCCUAUAACACAAAGUGGGAAAGUGAGAAACGCGAUUUAAACAGUUCAGUGACCAGAACUGAACAUUACUCUCUCUCUGCCAUUAAACCAAAACCAAAAGGAAAAUACAAAACUACAGACACUUAGGUUGUGAAGAUGAUGUGUUUUUCAUAAUAAUCACACUAUUGAUUUGCCUUGGAUAUUGGGAGCUUUCUUUGCCUAAAAUUGAAGGGGGUGAAUUAGGUUCUUUUCAAAGAAUUUAACACCACCCACAAUUAAACUCUUUUUUAUCUAAGUAAACAACACAUAAACACAAGGCAAUCUCAAAGCAAUAAUAAAGCAAAAGUAAAAAUAAUGAGGGGAGAGAUAUUAAGCCCAAAUUUUAUAGUGGUUCGGCACUAAAUAUCCACUCUCUAAACGAAAAGUUUGGACUUAUACUAUCAUUCAAUCCACUGUACAUGUGAAGCCAUAUAUUUUACAAUCAUAUUUUUCUCGAAGGUUUAAGAUUCAAACCUUAACACAAACAAUCUUUAUCCCUGGCAUCGAAAACCAUUUUUUUUACGGACUAAAGAUUGAAACCUACAAGAUAUUGAAACCUAAAAACCCUUUUUAUGUGCUCAAGAUCGAAACCCAAGUGACUUUUUCAGUAGUACUAUAGAUAUGUGUAUGUGUACUGUGCAUGAGAGGGACGGCCAUAGUUUCCCAUGGCAGUCACUCUUCUGUUUUUAGCCUUCAAGAGAUUACUACUGUGGUAUUAUUUUCCUGUAAGAGAUUUGUUUAGUGUAGUUAGGUUUUGGAUAAUAUGUGCGCGCUUGAUUAGUGGUUGAUAAUGGAGUUUUGUAGAAUACGCACGCUUUUUUGAACCUUGUUAAAUUUAGAACAAUAAAAACAGAGAUGCAAUUUCUGUUUUAUUUUUAUUUUUCGUUUUAAUGAAUUGGAUAUCAUUAGGCCAGCUUUGACCGUACAUAGGAUUUCUUAAUUAGAUAAAAGAUGUUUAAACGGGGUUUUACUUUAAGAUAGAAAUCUCUGCAUCGACAGGAAAUCCCAAUCAUCUUCGGAUUAAGCCUUCUGAAAUUGACAACAGAAGCGAUUGAAACUGCAUUCAUAACUUAAUUAGAUCAUCCCAUCUCAAAACAACAACAGCGUCAGAGCAAUGAAGAGCAGCAAACCCAUACAUGUUCGCGAAGUCUGGGCAGACAACCUCGUAGCUGAGUUUCUCUAACAAGGAAGCAAUCUCUCGCUUCUCCUUCAUUUCACUGGACACUGAAUUCCCUGGUACAGGUACUGUCUUUCUGCUAAAUCUUCACAAGAGUUUGCUGUCUCAAGCCCCUCCUUCUCAUAUUUUUAUAUUAUUAAAAAGAAAACUUUGAUAAAAUUAUUAUUUUGAUAUAUUUUUAAACAAAAAAUAUUUUAAAAAUUAAUUUUUAUUAUAUUACCAAACAGAAAAUUAAUAUUCGAUAUUUAUAAUGUCAUAUCAAACUUGAAGUAACAAUUGUUGGGCGGAAACCGACGACUGGUGAUGAACUGAUCUUUGCUCAUAGGAGGGGUAAGCACACUGAGACACAAUUUUUAACGUGGUUCGGCAAAACCGCCUACAUCCACGGGAGAGACAAUAUUAUUUAGAGAUUAGAGAAAGGAUAUAAUAAAUACAUGGAGGAGGAUCACAUCCACUCAACUCCCAUCUCUCAUUGCUGCAAUGGCAGCAGGGCUGCUGCCCAUGGCAGCAACUCCUCUUUCUCUCUUCCUCUCUUUUGCACUCUCACAUUCUCUCUCAUUUUGCUCUCUUUCGUAGUGCCUAUUUAUAGGCAAAUGGUGGCUUCUCUUUUCCUUUCCAGCAGCUGCACAUGGGAGUCAAUAUAUUUGUCAAUGGUGGGUGCAACCACCAUUGACAAAUGAUAACCCUACCCCUUAAGGUAGGUUGCCCAUUAAUGGCAUAUCCCAACAAUCACCCCUUUUGACAUUUAUAUGGGCAAUUGUCCUCCUGCUUCUUCAGCACAAGCUUGCAUCCUGCAGCUUUUCCAAGCUUACCAUUCCGAGAGCGUUCGUGGCUAAGUUUAUAGGUACUCGCCAAACCUUUCAAUCACCAGAGUCACCAAAGCACAUCCUUGCUUACACCAAAGGAUCACUUCAACCAGAUGGUCUCACACAUCACAUCUGAAGAGUGUUCACGCUUGUCUCUAGGAUACAACAUUCCCCUUCGAGCGUAUCAUCCAUGCUCGGUCCGGAAUGAUUCAUCAAGCCUCACACCAAGGCUUACAACACCCCCUCAAACGGAUAUUCAAAGUACGACAAUCAUUAUCUGAGCAUCUCAAUAUGAUCACUAGCUCACCACUCUUCCAAGAGUCUACUCAUCCAGGAGUUGCGCCUGCCCUCUAGUUCCACCCUAGGAACCAUGCCUUACUUCUCCGUGAGUCUCUCGCUCUUAGUCGUAAGAGUCCAGGUAGCUCUCCACCUUUAACCAUGGGGGCAGCCCAUUAAAGGUUGUAUGUCUUCAUACUCUGAGUAUUACAAUGCCAUCACCGAGCUCACCACCUUGACAAGAGUCAACUCGUUCCCGGAACCUGCGCAUGCCCUCUGCUCCUUCAUAGCAGCCGCGUCUUAAUGCUCCACAAGUCACCACUUAUUGUCCAAGGCAAAUGUCUUCUAGCUCAUUGAUCUUUAGCAUGGGGGCAAUAUCCAUGAAAGUCAAUCCUGCAUUUGUCUUCAUACUCAUCAUAGCCACUUCAUUGGCUAUAUACCAUGUCCACUCAUAUCAGCCAUCACAUUGGCUCUGGGGCGUUCUGAACUGGGCUCUAUCGUGGCCCACACCUUCUCCUAGGUGUCUCCGCUCGUCGUCAUGCGCGGUCUGAAAUGGGGCUCCUAUCAUGGCCCUCACACCUUCUCCGAGGUGUCUCGCUCGUCGUGGCUCAUCCUCCUUCAUGGGAUGACUCAGUGGCUCCAAGAUUCUCUACCACCAUGUGGACUUGGGAGAGAUUACUGCCACUGACUACAUAGAAAGAGAAAGUUGCGGUAUACUCCUCGCAAUCCUCCACCUCGAUUUCUAUGUUUGGAGCUUCUAUGCCUUUCUGCUUGACAGCUCCACCUACACCACUCUCUUUGGUGCUUCGCCUUUCAUCAUAGGCGGUCGCCUUUUAUCACAGGCGUUUGCACCCCCUCAAUUAGGUGCCUCUGCAACAGCUCAUCUUUCCAUCCUUGCAUGCAUUGGAAAGGUCCUCGCUGUUGUUUCAUCAAGAGCAUAAGAGACUUCUGUUGUACAAACUUUAACAGUCUCUGCUCUGAGCUUCAUCUGGGAACUCUUCUUCUCCUUGCACCUGUUGUCUCAUUACAGUACCUCGUUGGAUCCUCGGGUACUCUUGCACAAUCUCGUGUGCCCUCGUGCAAUUUCUGUUCUCCAGAUUUCUCCCUAUUCCUUGCUUAUGUUUGACAGCAGCUCAUCCUGUCACAACACCUGUCCAAGUCAAAAUAGGGUGCCAAUCUUUAUCCCCUUGCUGUAUUUCUCUUCCAUUAUCAGGGUCUUCAUCAAUUCUCCCUCGAGAAAUCACAGUCACCGAAUCUCCUUCUUUGGAGAAAUCACCACUCCAUCAGAUCCUUGAUCAUACGGAACCCAACUGUUCCCCUUGUGCCGUCAUCCUGCUAGUCUUCAAAGUUUCAUUACAAACUGCUAUAUAUACGAAAAUAGUACCGUAUGGAUAAUCCUUCCACUAAGCAAGUUCCCAGGAAAGAUUGGAGGGGUCACACGGUCCCGCUUAAAACCCAAUCUCCUAGACAGAACUUCUUAGGCCAUAUCUAUCCAUCGUACUGUCUCUCCGUAUAUACAACCAUUUGCUAGCUUUGUUGCGGCUUUCCUUUACAAGUGAUCUGGAAUAUACAGGUUUAAUACAUGAUUUCUCAACAUCUAGCGAGACUACAGUGCUUAGAUUCGUCAAGAUUGGUCUUCGUCAAUUUCCACUCUCCACCUCAAAUUGUCCACAUAACCGGGUGUCCAGAGUGUCCCAAUUUUGCCUUCCAUCAAGGCAUUAAUUUCCCCAUUUAACAGUUCAGCACAUGUUAUUGGGCAAACAUGUGCACCUUCUUCUUCUUCAUCUCCAUCGACCUCAAUCCAGACCCUCAGAUGCCUCCUGAUCGGGCAAUCUGUCUUUAAUAAAUCACCACUGCCAUUUUUGGUCUCGAAUCUCAACAAUCGGACCGUACCAUUGCAUCCGGAAUGAUCAAAUUAGCUGGAAACAUGUCUUGAAUCGUCCAAAUCGCACUUCAGACGACUAAGAUUUGAUCAAAACAAUUCUGGCCUUAUCAAUGGCUUAGAUUCAAUCUCAUAUCCGGUUGCACGGCUCGGCUCGGCUCACGGAUGAUGACGUGGUAUGUGGGGCCCACUAUGAUGACGUGGUAUGAUGUCAUCAUGGGCCAAGCUUACUGUGCAUGCUGACACCACAAAUGCAUCAUGCUGACGUCAUCCUUAUCCGGGUCAGACACGUGGGUCGGGUCGUCUGGUAUUCGGGUCGGGUCAGCCCAUCCGGGACAAGAAGACGCGUGUGAUGCGUGGUGUGCGUCUGCGCGCGUGGCCAACCUCCUCGUCGGCGCGUGAAGGCUAUUCUGACGUCCGAUUUCAACGUGGUUUUCAACAGUGGCUUCGUAUCUUCCUCUACACGGUGGUAUGGUCAAAACACAAUUUUGACAACUUUCAUUUUUGAGCAAAAAUAAAACACCACUUUAAACCAAAUGCUUUGAUACCAAUUGUUGGGCGGAAACCGGCGACCGGUGAUGAACUGAUCUUUGCUCAUAGGAGGUGUAAGCACACUGAGACACAAUUUUUAACGUGGUUCGGCAAAACCGCCUACAUCCACGGGAGAGACAAUAUUAUUUAGAGAUUAGAGAAAGGAUACAAUAAAUACAUGAAGGAGGAUCACAUCCACUCAACUCCCAUCUCUCAUUGCUGCAAUGGCAGCAGGGCUGCUGCCCAUGGCAGCAACUCCUCUUUCUCUCUUCCUCUCUUUUUCACUCUCACAUUCUCUCUCAUUGUGCUCUAUUUCGUAGUGCCUAUUUAUAGGCAAAUGGUGGCUUCUCUUUUUCUUUCCAGCAGCUGCACAUGAGAGUCAAUAUAUUUGUCAAUGGUGGGUGCAACCACCAUUGACAAAUGAUAACCCUACCCCUUAGGGUAGGUUGCCCAUUAAUGGCAAAUCCCAACAAUUGUUAACGCUUAUCUCUGGGAACAUUCCCAGAGAUAGAUUGUUGGGUAUACGACCAAAGUCCCACAUUGGCUAGAAAUAGGGAGGAUCAAGGGUAUAUAAGGAUGGACAAAUAUCUCCAUUGGUAUGAGGUCUUUUGGGGUAUAGCCCAAGAGCAAAUCCAUGAGGGCUUAGGCUCAAAGUGGACAAUAUCAUACCAAUGUGGAGAUAGGUGGUGUCCAUAGUCCCUACAAGUGGUAUCAAAGCCUUGCCUCAGAGUUAGCCAUGAUGGAUGAAUCCUCGGAAUGUCGAACAAAAGGUGGUGGGCCCCCAAGCAAAUCACGAUGUAAUCUGUGGAUCAGCUCUAUUGGAUAGGCGGUGUGCUCCAGAUGCUUCACUGACGUGUCUUGGCUCCAACACGGUGAAGAGGAGUUGACCUAGAAAGAGCAAACUCUCAAGUCAGGUAGUGCUCUCCGGAUGCUUCAUGGACGUGUCCUGACCCCAACACGGUGAAGUGGAGAAUGAAGAAUCAUGGUUGAUAGAGAGUGGACGAAUGAAUGAUCGUUUGAGGGGAGGCUCGGUGGUCCUUUGUUCGAGGGAAGGAUUGUUGGGUAUACGACCAAAGUCCCACAUUGGCUAGAAAUGGAGAGGAUCAAGGGUAUAUAAGGAUGGACAAAUAUCUUCAUUGGUAUGAGGCCUUUUGAGGUAUAGCCCAAGAGCAAAUCCAUAAGGGCUUAUGCUCAAAGUGGACAAUAUCAUACCAAUGUGGAGAUAGGUGGUGUCCAUAGUCCCUACAACAAUGAUGUCGUGGCUUAAUAUAUAACACAAUUAAUUUUUUUCCCCUUAUCAUCAGUUUUUUUUUUAGAGAUAAAUCUAUACAAUAAAUUAUUUUGCCUCUUACUUUGCUAUUUAAUUAUUUGGCUUUUCUUGCUCUUACUUUGCUACUUAAUCAUUUAAUUAUCUAUCAUUCACUAAACACGCAUACACUUUUAUUAGUAAUGGAGAGUUAAACAUUUUCUAUUGAAAUCACUGUGUAAUUUGUUCUUGUGCUUCUAUCACUGCUCUGAGCUCGUGGUUUUUUCUGCUAUCAACUACUAUUGAUGUUACUGCUAGCUGCUUUCGUCGUCUGCUAAUUUGAUGGUCUCUCUGCUGCUGAUUCAGCUUUUACUAUCUGGUCAUAAUGGUUAAUUAUUUUGGUUGCUCAAUCUCUGUUGCUGCUGCUGGUGAUGGUGGUUAGUCCAUGCUCAUGCUGCUCCAUGUUGCUCCCGCUCUGCUCCCUACUCUGUUUUUGCUCUCCCGGUAUUCCUUACAACUUUAUGUUCGUAGUCGCUGCCCUGGUUGAUCAUGAUCAGUACUGUCUCUGGUUUAAAAUGAGUGACGAGUUUUUUGGGUCUGUUAUUAGAUGGCUUAAUCGUCUUGGGCUUUAGUAUGAAGUUAAGCUUUGUGGCUGUGUUUCCACAAAAGCUCAAUCGAUAUUGCCUUAACCACAGACAAAUAGUAAAUCAAAUCUAUAAACAAUCAGCAUCUCCAGCUAUCAGAAUUUAAGCCUAAUUCAUCUGCAUAGUCUCAUCAGCAUGUUCACACCAGAGGAUUCGAGAGACUAAAUACUUCUCAAAUGAAAUCUUUGCUAACUGAUGACGACUUUGAUACCUCAAGAUAGAGACAUGGCUCAAGCUACCAAUUGAUCAAAGAAACUCUCUUAGAAUCAACGCGAAGGAUUUUUAAUUUAUUAAGUUCUUAACAUGAAAGACUAAGAACAUGUGCUAAAACACAGACCAGAAUACAAAUAUAAGUUUUUAUUCAAUCAGAAACGCUCCUAACAGUCUUAAAAACAAGAAAGAAACAUAUGAUUUGUGAUUAAUUUUCUUAAUCCCUCACCAUGUUUCAGAAGAAGUUGAAGGUUUGCAAUCUAAUGGUAGAUCUAUACCAAUCUCAAAACUGCUGCAGGAAAUCGACCUCGAUGAAUUAUCCACUUCACCAAUUUGUUGAAUAUUGGUACCGUUACGUGAUAAUAGAAUCCCCUCCAAUUCCAUUGCAACUUCUCUCAUUGUUGGUCGGUUUCUUCCACUCAAAUUCAAACAUCUCUUUGCAAGAUUCGCUAUAACUAUGGCUUCCUCUUCAGUGCAAUCCCCCUUAACCUGAGCAUCAAUGAUAUCAAAGAGUCUACCAUCUUCCAUGAAAUCAAUGAAAUGGUUGACUAAGCUCAUGGUUUCCAGUGAAUGGGUUAAGAAAAUUGUUUUUUUCCCACUUAAGAGCUCGACGAGAACUACUCCAAAACUGUAAACAUCACUCUUUUCUGUUAAUUGACUGGUUCGAAAAUACUCUGGAUCUAAGUAACCAAACGUACCUUGCACUUUGGUGGUCAGAUGAGUUUGAUCAAUGGAAACUGAUCUUGAAGUUCCGAAAUCUGAAACUUUUGCUCUAUAUUUCUCAUCUAAGAGUAUGUUUGUGGACUUAAUGUCUCGGUGAUAAAUCGGGAUAGAUGCUGUCGAGUGAAGAUAGGAUAUCGCACCUGCAGCUUCCGAGGCGAUUCGUAACCGCGAUUCCCAUGAUAACGUGAAGUCGUCGUUUCGCUCAUGGAGAUAUUGGUAAAGAGUUCCAUUGGAAAUGAAUUCAUAGACUAGCAGAGGAACUUCAGUCUCCAAGCAACAUCCCAAUAGCCUAACCACAUUUCUGUGACUGAUUUGUGAAAGAAUGACAACCUCGUUGAUGAAUUCUUCUAGUUUUUCUUCAUCCACUAUCUUAGACUUCUUAACUGCAACGAUAGUCCCAUCAACUAACAUUCCCUUGUAAACGGUGCCUUGGCCGCCAUGACCAAGUAUUCUGCUCUCAUUAAAAUAAUCGGUUGCCUUUUUCAACUCAUUUGAACUGAAUAUUUUUGUCUUUUGAACACUACCAUCACUUGAGGAUAAUUGCUGCUGCAAUAACAGACCACCAUUCCGUUUGAAAAACUUCUUCUUCAACUGAAUGCAAUUGUAUACCCCUCGAGCACCAAUGAGAAGGAACAGUACUCCAACCAAACCUGUAACUGUAUUAGGAGCAAAAAAAGCAUCGCUUAGGUUUUCAGUCUGCUGGAAAAUAAAAAUUACCACAUGAAUUUUGGUUCUAUUAAUUAAAAUUUGUCCGGAACUGUUUUUUUCGGAAUUAAUUGCAAAAGGGUAAACUUCGUUUCGACUCCAAUAAAUUCAUCAACAUUCCACUUCUAUCCAUACAAAGCUAACUGGACUAGGAAUCACAAGGAAACUUGAUAGUGUGAGGGUUGAAAUGUCAAAAACUAAAUUGCAAAAUAUAUUCAUUGAAUUAUUUAUGAUAUUCUCAGCAAGCAUUAAUUAACAUAUAAUUGCAUUAAAAAAUAUAAAAAUUAAAUUGCAAUUUCCGGCCCUUUAUAUUUUCUUAAUGUAUAAAUUUGUCUGCUCAGAGUUUACUUUAUUUUAAAAGUGUAGAGUAUAAAAUAAUAUAAAAACAAUAAGAGAGAAGAGAUACAUGCCUAAAACAGUAAACCGUAAGGGAUGAAGUUCGCAUUUAUACGAUCCUUUUGUAUUCACACAUCUUGUCAAUCCAUGGCAAGUAGUGUUUCGGUCUUCACAUUCAUCAAUGUCUAAUAUAUAAAGAAACCAGCAGAAAUGAAUCAAUUCACAGACAUGCACAUGAACAAAUAAUAUGCAUAUAGAAAAUCUCAAUAAAGUCUUAGUUAAUUUAAAAAAUUAGAUGGAUAUUACUUUUAAUUAGGCUUUAAAUAUGUCUAGUAAUUAUGUCUAAAAACCAUUUUUGUAAUAAUUAUAUGAUUUAUUAGAUGGUUAUAAACAAGGUUAUUAAACUGUAUCGGUCCAACAAGUUGACUUCAGUUACAGAUAACGAAGAGCUCCAUUUGAGUUAUAUUUGAUCAUAACUUGUUGUGAUUUAACUAAAAACUAAAUUUAUCUACAAUUGGAUAAAAACUUGUUAAUUUUAAAAAAAUUAUUCACAAUAAAAUGAUUUUAAUUUUAUUUUAUUUUAAUUAUUAAACUAUAUCAAUUCUAGCCUGCUCCGAGUAAUAUUUAAUAAGUAUGGUUUGUUACAACAUCUAUGUAUACAAUCAAAAGAAAAAUAAAUCAUAACAAGAAUAACUGCAUGACAGCAACUAUAAUAACUGAAAAAGGGAUAAUAUAUAUUUGUGUGGGAAAAAUUACCUCUGCAUUGAAGGUAAGGGUUGCCCUCAUAACCUUCUGAGCAAGAACAACGUCCGGAUGUCAUCUUUGUCGUACUAUUUAGUUGCCAAAAAUCGCAAUUAUCCAUGGUAUCUUUGUUGUAUGUCCAACUAUUGUUAUUUAGCAUCCAACCAAGCGACAUAGGAACAGUACUUGCCAAUUUGUUGAUAUCUUGGGGACUCCUUAUUUUGUCAUAAAACCAAUUGAUGUCUGCUAGGAAGGCCAGUAUACGCCCGUCACUUCCUUGUUUACCAUCUAUUAACUCGAAAGUUGAAUUGAAAACCUGAAGUGAGGCAGGCCAGCUCAUAUCUUGACAACAGUCCUUACCAUAGCAUCCACCCUUUUCAAGCCAUAUAUUACUAAUGGAAGUACCGUUGGAGCAAAUUGAGUCGCAUCCAACAUGUUCGGUCGUGCCAGUUUUUGUCCACAAAGUGGCACGAGUAUUGCAGCCCACUGCAAUUAAAUAAUUGUAAUAUGGGGUGAAAGGAGUUCCUGACAAAUUCACAGGUAGAACUUCUUGCCGACCCAGAGAUUCAACGGAUGUUACUGGACCCUUGACAACUGCACCUCCUGUUAAUGUAAUAUUCACCAACUCCAUUUUGAUGCUGCGUAAAAAAGCUCUAGGAGGUUUGGAAGUUUCAUCGCAUUCAACGUCAAAAGAUUCCGCCAUGUAGCAAUCCUUUCCACUCCCGAACGGGUAUAGAAUGGUAAUAUUUCCACAGCAGUCCGGACAAUUAGGUUUUGCCAGACCAGCCGGUGCUCGCGCCAGUGCUGGCUGAAACAUCAGCAUUAAUAGCAAGAAAGAAAAAUGGGAGACAAGUUUCACAACCUGCAUACUGUUAUUUUUAUUUCUUCUAUUCUUUGAGUUUGGUGUUCAACAAUACUAGGUUUGAUCAUGUCUUUAUACAGCCACCGGAUAAUUUUGCAUGCUUCUUCUAAGCUUACGCGUCCUUGACUAAAUGUAAUUUCUUGUUAUAAUCAGUCAAUAAUGACUUUUAUUCCAAUAUGUCCAUUAAUUAUAUUAUUUUAAUCUUUCUUGCUUGAUUAAUGGAUAUUUGGAAGGUUAAUUAGAUUUGUUUCUCUAGAUCGUUAUACGAUCGAAUGAAGUUGUACUGCUCUUACAUAAUCAAUUAUUAUGUCUAGCAAUUGAGGAAAGUGAAUGAUAAUAAAGUUUGUUAUAAAAGUCAUAACAACUCUUUAUUUAAAAAAACUAGAAAACUUCAAUAUAUUUAAUAACGUGCCUAGACUAUUUAAGGCUGGUCCACCCUUUGUGGAAAUAAGAAAGUUCAUAGAUUAAAGUAGCACGCGAAUAAGAUGGUUAGUCCUGAGGAAUUAACUAAAAGAAAAUAAUAUUCUAGUUUAAAUUCUAUCAUUUUUAUUUUUUAAUCUACAUAUAAAUGUGUAAUUUAUUGAAGAACUUGAGUUAGUGGGUUCUUUUCUAUAGUUUGAAAUUUAAAAGUGACCACUUUUAAUAAUGUGUUCAUUAUAUCAGGAAAAAAAAAAAUCAAGAGUACCACGUUCUAUAAACUCUCAAUCCUCUGUUUUAUAUUGCUCUGCCUACUUCGAAAACCGUCGUAUCUUACUUAUUAUGGCUUCCAUAAUGGAUAUAUGAUAAUUGGAUACGUGACACAUGAAGUGUUUAUCCAUUCCAUAGUAACUCAAUAUUUUUAUAUAUAAAAAAAUUGUUUAUACGUAUAAUUAUUAAUAUAUGCUUAUAUGGACCAAUAAUCUUCAUGUGGAAGAUUCAUUAGAAAACGAACAUACUAUGCAAAAGAAAUUUUGAUUGUGGGACGUACUUUUGCAAAAGCAAAUUUUAAAGUGUGUUUUUGAAAAAGAAUAAUUUUUUUUUAGUUUUUUAUUAACUUUAAAUUUAUAUAUUUUUAAUAUUUUUAAAUCAUUUUGAUAUGUUGAUGUUAAAAAUAUUUUUUUAAAAAAUAAAAAAAAAAUCACUAAUAUAAAUUUUAAUAUAAAAAAUUACUUAAAAAAUAAUUAUAACCACACGUUAUACUAAUAAGCAAGAGUUACAAGUAUACAGCCACCUAGCAACAUCGUAGUCUUUUCUUAAACACUUUUACCGCGUAGCCCUUACGGCAAAGAUGAUUCAUACGCUAAAGUCAAAAGUGCUCAAGUAGGACAUCGGAGAAUUUCAUUAUGACAAUAAAAAGAAUAUAUAUAUUGCAGAAGUUUCUGUGAAGAUUCCAAGCAAAAUUCAAUCGCAUGAUAUCCGAAAAUUAUAAUUUUUUUAAAAUAAAAAAAUCUCAAAAUAUUAACAAAAAUUUGGAUACAAUCAUUCUAUAAAGUGAUUAUUGUAAUUUUUGUAAUAAAACAAAAAACUUUCCGAGCAGCUUCCAAGAGUAGUAAUUUCUAUGUUAAUUUUGAAGAGUAUAACUCAACUGGUCAGAUCUUCAAUUUGAUUUUAAAAAUAAUUAGUUCGAGUCUUACAAACUUUAAAACCACUGAAAACCUAUAUGAUCGUUAACUUAAGAACCUAUAAAAAUAGUUGAAAUGUACACAAACUAAUCUAGACAUCCACAUUAAUCUAUAAAUAAAAACUUCUACAUUGAAUUUGUCAAUAGUGCGCAACUAUAGUUUAAUAAUUAUUCAGUUUUAUAUAUAUAUAAAAAAAACUGACAAAUCACUAGUUCGCCCUUAUGCAAUUUUAGAUGCACCGUCUGUUUAAAAAGAAGGAAGCUAAAUUAUUAUGUUUUUAAAUUCGAUCACCUGUAUAAAUGUGCGAUUUAUCGAAGAUCUGGAGGUAGUGGGCUCUUUCCUGUAGGGGGUUCUUUCCUGUGUUUAUUGUAUCAAAAAAAAAAAAUUCAUGAGUAACACGUACUAAAAACCCUCAAUCCUCCGUUUUCAAGCACCGACCUGGCUGCUUAUAAAAAUAAGUAAAGUGAACUACCAUGCACUUUCUGUAGCUACCCAAUAUUGGUUUAAACAAUUGUUUUAUAUGGACCAAUAAUCUUCAUGUGGAAGAUUCAUUUAGAAAACGAACAUACUUUGCAAAAGAAACUUUGAUUUUGGGACAUACUUUUGCAAAAGCAAGAGUUAGUCUAAGCAAGAGUCACAAAGUGUAUAGCCAACGAGCAACAUCGUAGUCUUUUCUUAAACACUUAGUAGGAGGACAUACUUACAAUUUAUGGUUUUCUAAAUUUAUGGCAUUGUUCUCUCUGAUAUCUUAGUAGCUACGCUAUCUGUGGCAGAGGAUGCUCUGUUUAUGUAUCUUAGUAGCUACGCUAUCUUAGUUGUGAACAUAAGUUGUGGAAAAUAUUGAGUAAUUGGAGGCUGCCUCUUAGCAAUUGCGAUUAAGAAAUUAAUAGCACUUUUAAUAUAUUAACCAAACUGCAGAGGCCCAGCUUCUAUCUUUAAAUUUCGAAUUCAAGUAUUUUAUGUAAAUUAGGCAGUUUAAACCGCGCCCUUUAGAGGAUACAUUUGUCAGUUGGUACUUUUUGGGUCUGAAUCUUCCAAAAAGAGAAGAGAAGACAUUUAAUUCAUAGAAUUAUAUGGAAUUUUUAUGCAUUAUUCUCCUCCAUGAAUUAUUCUCCUCCAUGAAAUCAAAGGGAGCUUUUUUCGUUUUUCUAGCCACGAUGUCGCACAGGCAUGUUACCAAUCAAAUGGCAAGCUAGGACUUCAACAUGCAAGUUCAAUGUAUCAUUGAAAGGUUUACCUUUAUAGGAAAAUAUUGAUUAUUUUUUAUUUUUAAAAAAUUAUUUUUGAUAUUAAUAUAGUAUUGAAAAAUAUCAAAAAAUAAUUAAAAAUAUAUUUUUAAAAUGUAAAAAUAAUGUGUUCUUAACUAUGAAAGACUAGGACAUGGAAUGGACUACAAGCUCUAUUUUUUAUAUUGUCCUUAUACAUAUUAUGUAUAUUGCUCUGCUCGCUAAAACUGGCAUUAGUUGCAGCAGCUGGAAAUGAGAUUUUUAUUUGGUUAGUGCUUCUUCCAAACGUCAUAUCGAGUUACAUGAUGCUUAGGCUAUCGAAAUUGCACAUAUGGUAGCUACUGGAGAAUGUGAGAUUAGUAAAGGGGCUAAUCAAAUCGGUAAUUUACAUCGAAGUGGAACUACUCGCUAGAGCUCUCAUUUUGAUUAUAUUUGCAGCUUAAUAGAUAUGUAUGGUGCAACUAUUACUGUACUUGAAAGUAUGGUUCAAGAAGGAUCUUCUAACUCUAUACGUAGAGAAACUGGUGGUAGUUUGAUUAGGAUGAAAUCUUUUAAAUUUAUAUUUAUCUUAUAUUUGAUGCAUAAAAUAACAGGGAUUACUAGUUUACUUUAUCGAGCUUUGUAGCAAAAUGCUUUGAAUCAACUACUAUAGCAUUGCUUUGAAUUUUAUGACAUGCCGGAUUUGAUUUUCUCCUUACAAAUGUGCAAUCUGUUUGCACAAAAUAUGAGAUUGGCGUACCACAUAUGAAUGCUUCGUAUAAAAAAGCUACAGGUCGUUCAUGUUAACAACAAGGUUCAGUGACAGUUUACCAUCAUUAUCAUUAUGAUAUAUUUAACUCAACAAUAGAUUUUCAAUUAGAACAAUUAAAUUCUAAAUUCAGUGAUGAGACAGUGGAACUCCUCGUACUUAGCUCUGCUUUAGAACCUGAGGACAAUUUUAAAUCAUUUAACGUUGAUGCUAUUUACAAGUUUGCUGAGAAGUUUUAUCCUGAAAAUUUCAAUGAACAAGAGAUGUGUUAUUUGAGAUCUCAACUAGAGCAUUAUUAGAUUGAUAUAAUUCAUAAUGAGAGCUUUCAGAAUAUGUCUAUCAUUUAUUAAUUAUAUCGAGGAUUAAAUAAAACAAAUAAGUCGCAACACUAUCAUUUGAUUGACAGGUUGAUUCGUCUUGUUUUGACUUUGCAUGUUUCCACUGCCACUACAGAGCGGAUAUUUUCGACUAUGAAACAUGUUAAAUGAUAGAGGAGUUUUUAGCAGAUUCUAGAAUGAUUUAUAUUGAACGAGAGCUUGUUGAAGAUAUUGAUUCGGAUUCAAUUAUAGAUGAAUUCUAUUCUACAAAAUAUCGAAUGGUACAACUUUAAUAGUGUAAUUUAUUUUUAUUUUUAUUUUGAAUUUUAUGUAUUUUAAAUUUUAUUUUUUAUAUAUUUUAUGUUAUAUAUGUGAAUUAAAACUUUAUUGUUAACUUGAUAAAUUUAUAUAUCCUAGUUAAUGAUUGAUCUUAAAAAAUAAUUUAUAUGCAUUUAUAUCAUAGUCUAAGAUAUGAAAAAUUGCUGGCUUCAUUCCUCUCCAUCGUACUACCAUUUUACCUUAAAAUAAAGUGUCUGGCGAUGAAGAACCAGCUGAAAGACAGUAUCUCAAUCAGUAGAACACCGUCUUGUUUCUAGCUAACCAAAGACCUCAUGAUACACCAAAAGCCAACCUGAAAAUGGCUCUGCGCAAGGAUUUUCCUUUAACCAAAUAUUUCCACUCAAGUACUGACACGUCUACAAUAGUACUCGUCGGCAUACACCAUUGAAAAUUCAACCAUUUAAUAAAUCUGCACCAACAUUUCCAUACAUAGGAGCAGUGGAGGAUAUCCCUAUCAUUUUAUUAAUACAACACAACGAUAUAAUACAUGAUUCUAAGUUGAUUCAACAACUUCUAAACAAAAGAGAAUCAUAACACACAAGCCAACAUAUUCUAUUUGGUAAUUAAUAAAGAAAAACUUAUUAAUUGUUUGAUAAUCAAAAGGUCAACGUCUGAUGAUGAAGAAUUAUUAAAAUCACAAGUCAUUAUUGAUGUCGGAAAUGCAUCCCAUGUAUUGCAUACUGAGAUCAGCCAUGAUGUUCUCAUUCUCUUGACUGUCUUGUUGAACAUUUGAUCCCUUUUGAAUUACCCUCUCCAACUCUGUGGUUACUUCUUUCAUUGUUGCCGAUUUUUCCCAUUCAAAUUCAAGCAUUUUCUUGCAAGAUUGCCGACAGCAACAACUUCUUCAUUAUGGCAAUGCUCUUUGACUCUAGCAUCAAGAAUAUCAAACAACCUGUUAUCUUCCAUCAACAUGAUAAAAUGCGUGGCUAAACUUCUACUUUCUGUCGGGCUAGCGGAAAAUAUCGGUUUUUGUCCGCUUAAAAGCUCAACCAGAACCACUCCAAAGCUAUAAACAUCACUUUUUUCUGUAAAUUGACUAGACUGGAAGUACUCUGGAUCCAAGUAGCCAAAAGUACCCAGCACAUGAGUGGUCAACUGAGUUUGAUCGAUGGCAAUGGAUCUUGAAGAUCCAAAAUCUGAUAUUGUGGCUCUAUAUUUCUCAUCUAGGAGUAUGUUUAUAGACUUGAUAUCACGGUGAUAAACCGGAAUCGAUGCUUCCGAGUGCAGAUAAGAAAGGGCUCCCGCAACCUCAAUGGCAAUCCGAAAUCGCAUCUCCCAAGAUAACAAGUCAUUGUCUUGAACAUGGAUAUACUUGUAAAGAUUUCCAUUGGAAAUGAAUUCGUAUACUAGUAUAGGAACUUCAGUCUCCAAGCAACAACCUAGCAACUUAACCAUAUUUCUGUGGUUGAUUUGUGUGAGAAUGACGAACUCGUUAAUAAAUUCUUCGAGAUUUUUUUCAUCAACGACUUUGGACAUUUUUACAGCAAUAAUUCUUCCAUCUGUUAACAUUUCCUUGUAAACAGUGCCUUACCACCUUCUUCAAGUACUCGGUUCACAUUAAAACCAUCGGUGGCUACUUCCAGCUCCUUGGAACUGUAUAUUUUUGUUUUCUGAACGCUACCAUCACUAGUGGAUAAUUGUUGGUGUAACAAUAGCCCACCGUUACGUCUGAAGAAUUUC